GCGGUUUAAUGGCAGGAUUCUUGCCUUUCAUGCAAGAGACCUAGGUUCACUUCCUAGGCA
rnacentral:tRNA from 1 species